UUAAGUGACGAUAGCCUAGGAGAUACACCUGUACCCAUGCCGAACACAACAGUUAAGCCCUAGAACGCCGGAAGUAGUUGGGGGUUGCCCCCUGUGAGAUAUGGUAGUCGCUUAGC
rnacentral:rRNA from 1 species